rnacentral:rRNA from 1 species
AGAGUUUGAUCAUGGCUCAGAUUGAACGCUGGCGGCAUGCUUUACACAUGCAAGUCGAACGGCAGCGCGGGCUUCGGCCUGGCGGCGAGUGGCGAACGGGUGAGUAAUAUAUCGGAACGUACCCAGAAGUGGGGGAUAACGUAGCGAAAGUUACGCUAAUACCGCAUACGAUCUACGGAUGAAAGUAGGGGACCGCAAGGCCUUAUGCUUUUGGAGCGGCCGAUAUCUGAUUAGCUAGUUGGUGAGGUAAUGGCUCACCAAGGCGACGAUCAGUAGCUGGUCUGAGAGGACGACCAGCCACACUGGAACUGAGACACGGUCCAGACUCCUACGGGAGGCAGCAGUGGGGAAUUUUGGACAAUGGGGGCAACCCUGAUCCAGCAAUGUCGCGUGAGUGAAGAAGGCCUUCGGGUUGUAAAGCUCUUUUGUCAGGGAAGAAACGGCUGUGGCUAAUAUCCACGGCUAAUGACGGUACCUGAAGAAUAAGCACCGGCUAACUACGUGCCAGCAGCCGCGGUAAUACGUAGGGUGCAAGCGUUAAUCGGAAUUACUGGGCGUAAAGCGUGCGCAGGCGGUUUUGUAAGUCUGACGUGAAAUCCCCGGGCUUAACCUGGGAAUUGCGUUGGAGACUGCAAGGCUAGAAUCUGGCAGAGGGGGGUAGAAUUCCACGUGUAGCAGUGAAAUGCGUAGAGAUGUGGAGGAACACCGAUGGCGAAGGCAGCCCCCUGGGUCAAGAUUGACGCUCAUGCACGAAAGCGUGGGGAGCAAACAGGAUUAGAUACCCUGGUAGUCCACGCCCUAAACGAUGUCUACUAGUUGUCGGGUCUUAAUUGACUUGGUAACGCAGCUAACGCGUGAAGUAGACCGCCUGGGAGUACGGUCGCAAGAUUAAAACUCAAAGGAAUUG